rnacentral:rRNA from 1 species
GAUGAACGCUGGCGGCGUGCUUAACACAUGCAAGUCGAACGGGAAUUAUUUUAUUGAAACUUCGGUCGAUUUAAUUUAAUUCUAGUGGCGGACGGGUGAGUAACGCGUGGGUAACCUGCCUUAUACAGGGGGAUAACAGUCAGAAAUGGCUGCUAAUACCGCAUAAGCGCACAGAGCUGCAUGGCUCAGUGUGAAAAACUCCGGCGGUAUAAGAUGGACCCGCGUUGGAUUAGCUGGUUGGUGGGGUAACGGCCCACCAAGGCGACGAUCCAUAGCCGGCGGGAGAGGGUGAACGGCCACAUUGGGACUGGGACACGGCCCAGACUCCUACGGGAGGCAGCAGUGGGGAAUAUUGCACAAUGGGGGAAACGCUGAUGCAGCGACGCCGCGUGAAGGAAGAAGUAUCUCGGUAUGUAAACUUCUAUCAGCAGGGAAGAUAGUGACGGUACCUGACUAAGAAGCCCCGGCUAACUACGUG